UCCAGAAAAAAACUCAUUAUAUAAAGGUUAGAGAUUGAUUCGCAUUUCAGUGCCCUGAGUGUGUGAGGGUGUAACGGGGUGUUACCACACAUCAUUCACACUCUUUAAAAGAAAUCCCUGGCAACCAGGAGGUCACAAAGACCUCGGUCAAGAAGACUAGAGACUAAUACACUGACACAGACACUUCGGACAAAAAGAAGAAAACCCCCUCUCUCUUUCAUCUCUUGUCUGGCGAGCUGACUCCCUUUUAUACAUAAAGGAAGCAUGUGACAGCCGGAUGGCGUUUCCUUCAUCCUUCUGCUGUGAGAUCUGUCUCUCUCUUCUUUCGUUUAGGCCUGCCGUGUGCACUGUGUUGCUGUUUGGGAGUGAACGAGAGUUCGCUGCAUUAGCAGGAGGACUCGAACACUUCCAAAGUCAAACACCGAGCUGACCCCUGCCAGUUUGUUGAGAUACUCCCCUUAAAGCAAAGUUCAGAGGUCAACAUGUGUUGAAAAUAUCAGUGUCAGCCUUAAACUUCAUUCAUUAACGUGACAUGAAUCAGCAGGGGAGGUGGCCAAAACGAUGGGUGAAGAAAACACCUGCUCCUCUCCUCCCUCUCUCUCUCACUUUGUUCUCUGGAGCGCUGCCAUUUAAUUAAAGCUCAGGUUCUGCAGACGGGGAAAUGAAAGCCUGAGGUGUGGAGGAAUGUGAGCGAGCUCUGGUGGGAAAUCUCACAGUGUUGGACGGUGUAUACUGCAUGCUCUGAUGGGUCUCUGCUCGACAUUUACAAAUGUUACUUGUCUGCUGUGACAACAUUUGAUUUAUACCGCACUGAUUGGACACUUUUAACCUUUGCAGCUCUUAAAAAGAAUAGCAUGUAUUGUGUUGCAAUCAAAUGUCCUUUUUAAAGUAUGUGCAGAGGCUCUGAGAGCUUUUUUUUUUAAGUACAGAAAAUAAGAUAAAGCCCAACAAUCGAAACAAGAUGAGCUUUCUUUUGACUGUUCUAUU